ensembl:lncRNA
GUGAUGCUUUCUAAGGCCCACUUGACUUCACAUUCCAGGAUGUCUGGCUCUAGGUGAGCCAUCACACCAUCGUGAUUAUCUUAUCUUCAUCCUUAUAUGUACCCUUUUUGAUACCUCAGGUUUGUGCUUCCUAUACUAGCAAUUGUAAUAAAUUUAGUGGUCUCUUUAAAUUAUUGUAUGCAUAGUACAUGUGUGCAUGGUAAGUCACUUCAGUUAUGUCCAACUCUUUAUGACUCCAUGGACUAUAGACCACCAGGCUCUUCUGUCCAUGGGAUUCUUCGGGCAAGAAUACUGGAAUGGGUUGCCAUGCCUACAUCCAGGGGAUCUUCCCAAUCAAGGGAUUAAAGCUAUGCCACUUAUGUCUCUUGCACUGGCAGGUGGAUUCUUUAUCUCUAAAGCCACCUGGGAAGGCCAAUAUGCAUAGUACAUUUGUAAUUAUUGAUACUCAUUAUUGAAAAUAUUUCUGAUGGGAGAGAAACUUCUGUUUAGACAUGAUAUCAGUAAGAGCUGUAUCUUCUGCUUACAAUUGCACACAUCAGCUUUUUGGAAGGAUUUACCACAGAUAACUCUGACUCUAUACAUUUCUACCCUUGUUUCUCUUGUCUUCCGCAUAUAUCCCACAACAGGAUCUCUGGGACAAGUUCAUAUCAAGAUAUGACCUCCAAUCCUACACAUUUCUGAGAAGACACCAGAUACAACUUCAUUUGGAUGUUCCCAUGGUCCUCCUGUGGAGAAGGAAAUGGCAACCCAUUCCAGUGUCCUUGCCUGGAGAAUCCCAGGGACAGAGGAGCCCGGUGGGCUGCCAUCUAUGGGGUCGCACAGAGUCGGACAUGACUGAAGCGACUUAGCAGCAGCAGCAGCAGCAGCAGCAUGGUCCUGCUGUGCUUUCUGGACUCCCUAGAUUGAAUGGAAUCUCAAAUCCAACCAAUGCUCAGUGAUAUUCUCUCCCUCUGUGACAUUCCUAAAAUGUUACCAUGUGAUUUUGGCUUGAUUGGAAAUUGAAAGGGAACUCUGGGACACUUCUCUCUUUCUAAACACUGCUAAUCAUCAAAACCAUGGUCCUUAUCACAUAUCAAACUAUCUCUCUCUAUAAUUAGCACCAUUCUUCAUAGGUCUGCCUUCUGGUAAUAUCCUUCAGGCAAUUGAGUUCCUCUUCCACAUGACAGCUAUGGCUAUA